GCCCGAGUGGCGCAACUGGAAGACGCCGCGGUCUUAAACACCGCUCAGCUGCGGGUUCGACUCCCGUCUCGGGCACCC
rnacentral:tRNA from 1 species